GGGUGCUCCUUGUUGGCCUCCCUGCUGGGGUCCACCUUGUUGGGGUGCUCCUUGUGGGCCUCCCUGCUGGGGUCCUCCUUGUUGGGGUGCUCCUUGUUGGCCUCCCUGCUAGGGUCCUCCUAUGUUGGGGUGCUCCUUGUUGGCCUCCCUGCUGGGGUCCUCCUUGUUGGGGUGCUCCUUGUUGGCCCUCCCUGCUGGGGUCCUCCUUGUUGGGGGUGCUCCUUGUGGGCCUCCUCGUUGAGGUCCACCUUGUUGGGGUGCUCCUUGUGGGCCUCCUCGUUGAGCUCCACCUUGUUGGGGUGCUCCUUGUGGGCCUCCCUGCUGGGGUCCUCCUUGUUGGGGU
rnacentral:lncRNA from 1 species